ensembl:miRNA MIR501 microRNA 501
CUUUUGCUUUGCUCCUCCUCUCUAAUCCUUUGUCCCUGAGUGAGAAUGCUUUCAGAAUGCAGUGCUCCCAGGCAAGGGUUCUGAGAGGGCGAGCCUCCUCUGCAUGGAG